UUAAAUUGAAGAGUUUGAUCAUGGCUCAGAUUGAACGCUGGCGGCAGGCCUAACACAUGCAAGUCGAGCGGUAGCACAGAGA
rnacentral:rRNA from 2 species